rnacentral:lncRNA from 1 species
CCGGGGUUUUACUGUAAGAUCGCACAAACUUAACAAAUGGGUAUAACAUGGUUAACGAAGCAAGAAAUAACUAUUUGCGCAAAAGGGAAGGCUUUUGAGGCUAUUCCCUCAACUUGGUCUAGUUUUUUCCAGCAUGUAAAUCAUGCAAUAUACUUAGGAAGGUGUUUAGGGAGACGAGCUUGGGAUUGGCUCUUAUGCUACCCACUCCAGGC